AGAGUUUGAUCCUGGCUCAGGACGAACGCUGACGGCGUGCUUAACACAUGCAAGUCAAGGGGGCCCGCAAGGGCAACCGGCGAACGGGUGCGUAACACGUGAGCAAGCUUCCGAUUUGUGGGGGAUAGCCGGCCCAACGGCCGGGUAAUACCGCAUACGUUCACUGGACGGCAUCGUCUGGUGAGGAAACCUCCGGGGCAAAUCGAGGCGCUCGCGGCCUAUCAGCUAGUUGGCGGGGUAAUGGCCCACCAAGGCUACGACGGGUAGCUGGUCUGAGAGGAUGGCCAGCCACAUUGGGACUGCGACACGGCCCAGACUCCUACGGGAGGCAGCAGUGGGGAAUAUUGCGCAAUGGACGAAAGUCUGACGCAGCGACGCCGCGUGUGGGAUGAAGCCUUUCGGGGCGUAAACCACUGUUGCCCGGGACGAAACUCCUUUUUCGAGAGGAUUGACGGUACCGGGUGAGGAAGCACCGGCUAACUCUGUGCCAGCAGCCGCGGUAAUACAGAGGGUGCGAGCGUUGUCCGGAAUCACUGGGCGUAAAGGGUGCGUAGGUGGCAAGGUAAGCGUGUGGUGAAAGUCCGGGGCUCAACCCCGGAUCUGCCGUGCGAACUGCCUGGCUUGAGCAAUGUAGAGGCAGGUGGAAUUUCGGGUGUAGCGGUGGAAUGCGUAGAUAUCCGAAAGAACACCAGUGGCGAAGGCGGCCUGCUGGGUAUUUGCUGACACUGAGGCACGACAGCGUGGGGAGCAAACAGGAUUAGAUACCCUGGUAGUCCACGCCGUAAACGAUGGGUACUAGGUGUCUGGGGGAGCGACCCCCUGGGUGCCGGCGCUAACGCAUGAAGUACCCCGCCUGGGGAGUACGGCCGCAAGGCUGAAACUCAAAGGAAUUGACGGGGGCCCGCACAAGCGGUGGAGCAUGUGGUUUAAUUCGACGCAACGCGAAGAACCUUACCUAGGCUUGACAUGCAGGAGAAAGCUCGCAGAAACGUGAGCCCCUCUUCGGAGUUCCUGCACAGAUGCUGCAUGGCUGUCGUCAGCUCGUGUCGUGAGAUGUUGGGUUAAGUCCCGCAACGAGCGCAACCCUCGCCCUUAGUUACCAGCGGGUAAAGCCGGGAACUCUAGGGGGACUGCCGGUGCCAAACCGGAGGAAGGUGGGGAUGACGUCAAGUCAUCAUGGCUCUUACGUCUAGGGCUACACACGUGCUACAAUGGGCCGGACAGAGGGUCGCCAACUCGCGAGAGUGAGCCAAUCCCCAAACCGGUCCUCAGUUCGGAUUGUAGUCUGCAACUCGACUACAUGAAGCUGGAAUCGCUAGUAAUCGUGGAUCAGCUACGCCACGGUGAAUACGUUCCCGGGCCUUGUACACACCGCCCGUCACGCCAUGGAAGUUGUGAGCGCCCGAAGUCGGUGUCGGAACCCGCAAGGGACCAAGCCGCCUAAGGCGAGUGCAAAGACUGGGGCGAAGUCGAAACAAGGUA
rnacentral:rRNA from 1 species